UAGGGAAUCUUCCGCAAUGGGCGAAAGCCUGACGGAGCAACGCCGCGUGAGUGAUGAAGGUCUUCGGAUCGUAAAACUCUGUUAUUAGGGAAGAACAAAUGUGUAAGUAACUAUGCACGUCUUGACGGUACCUAAUCAGAAAGCCACGGCUAACUACGUGCCAGCAGCCGCGGUAAUACGUAGGUGGCAAGCGUUAUCCGGAGUUAUUGGGCGUAAAGCGCGCGUAGGCGGUUUUUUAAGUCUGAUGUGAAAGCCCACGGCUCAACCGUGGAGGGUCAUUGGAAACUGGAAAACUUGAGUGCAGAAGAGGAAAGUGGAAUUCCAUGUGUAGCGGUGAAAUGCGCAGAGAUAUGGAGGAACACCAGUGGCGAAGGCGACUUUCUGGUCUGUAACUGACGCUGAUGUGCGAAAGCGUGGGGAUCAAACAGG
rnacentral:rRNA from 1 species